GACGAACGCUGGCGGCGUGCUUAACACAUGCAAGUCGAACGGAAAGGCCCUGCUUUUGUGGGGUGCUCGAGUGGCGAACGGGUGAGUAACACGUGAGUAACCUGCCCUUGACUUUGGGAUAACUUCAGGAAACUGGGGCUAAUACCGGAUAGGAGCUCCUGCUGCAUGGUGGGGGUUGGAAAGUUUCGGCGGUUGGGGAUGGACUCGCGGCUUAUCAGCUUGUUGGUGGGGUAGUGGCUUACCAAGGCUUUGACGGGUAGCCGGCCUGAGAGGGUGACCGGCCACAUUGGGACUGAGGUACGGCCCAGACGCCUACGGGAGGCAGCAGUGGGAAAUAUUGCACAAUGGGCGGAAGCCUGAUGCAGCAACGCCGCGUGCGGGAUGACGGCCGUCGGGUUGUAAACCGCUUUCGCCUGUGACGAAGCGUGAGUGACGGUAAUGGGUAAAGAAGCACCGGCUAACUACGUG
rnacentral:rRNA from 1 species